rnacentral:sRNA from 1 species
GGGAUGUGGUAAGGCUCUGGCCUGGAGAUGUGAUUUGCAGAGACUGUCGGCGUGAUCUCUCUCAUUCUCUCUGUGUUGCAGCCUCCCAAAGUGAAAUGCCUGACCAAGAUCUGGCACCCCAACAUCACAGAGACAGGGGAAAUAUGUCUGAGUUUACUGAGAGAACAUUCAAUUGAUGGCACUGGCUGGGCUCCCACAAGAACAUUAAAGGAUGUCGUUUGGGGAUUAAACUCUUUGUUUACUGAUCUUUUGAAUUUUGAUGAUCCACUGAAUAUUGAAGCUGCAGAACAUCAUUUGCGGGACAAGGAGGACUUCCGGAAUAAAGUGGAUGACUACAUCAAACGUUAUGCCAGAUGAUAAAAGGGGACGAUUGCGGGCCCAUGGACUGUGUUACAGUUUGUCUCUAACAUGAAACAGCAAGAGGUAGCCCCCUCUCCCGUCCUCAUGCUCCCUCUCAGUCCCCUGGAUUGCCCCAGUCCUGUGACCAUGUUGCCCUGAAGAAGACCAUCUUCAUGACUGCUCAUUGUAGAUGGAGAAUUCAACAUAAAUACAGCAAGAAAAUGUGUUUGGGCUUCUGAAGAGUUGUCUGCUUACCUUAACAUGUUUACUUUUUUGAACUUGUACUGUAUAGGCUGUUGGUGAAAUUCUUAAGAAGUUGUAAUGAACUCAAAAUUGAGGCCAGGCUUGCUUUCCCUUUUCCCAAACAAAAUUGGUUUUCUGCACAAGCGAUGCUAAUGAUGUGUUCAGUGUAACUCGCAGAUUGGCAAUAAGAUACCCGCUACAAACUGUGAUUGGAUGCAA